UACGUAGGUGGCAAGCGUUAUCCGGAAUUAUUGGGCGUAAAGCGCGCGCAGGUGGUUUCUUAAGUCUGAUGUGAAAGCCUACAGCUCAACCGUGGAGGGUCAUUGGAAACUGGGAGACUUGAGUGCAGAAGAGGAAAGUGGAAUUCCAUGUGUAGCGGUGAAAUGCGUAGAGAUAUGGAGGAACACCAGUGGCGAAGGCGACUUUCUGGUCUGUAACUGACACUGAGGCGCGAAAGCGUGGGGAGCAAACAGG
rnacentral:rRNA from 1 species